AUGAACGCUAGCUACAGGCUUAACACAUGCAAGUCGAGGGGCAUCAGGAAGAAAGCUUGCUUUCUUUGCUGGCGACCGGCGCACGGGUGAGUAACACGUAUCCAACCUGCCCUUUACUCGGGGAUAGCCUUUCGAAAGAAAGAUUAAUACCCGAUGGCAUAAUGAUUCCGCAUGGUUUCAUUAUUAAAGGAUUCCGGUAAAGGAUGGGGAUGCGUUCCAUUAGGUUGUUGGUGAGGUAACGGCUCACCAAGCCUUCGAUGGAUAGGGGUUCUGAGAGGAAGGUCCCCCACAUUGGAACUGAGACACGGUCCAAACUCCUACGGGAGGCAGCAGUGAGGAAUAUUGGUCAAUGGGCGCUAGCCUGAACCAGCCAAGUAGCGUGAAGGAUGAAGGCUCUAUGGGUCGUAAACUUCUUUUAUAUAAGAAUAAAGUGCAGUAUGUAUACUGUUUUGUAUGUAUUAUAUGAAUAAGGAUCGGCUAACUCCGUGCCAGCAGCCGCGGUAAUACGGAGGAUCCGAGCGUUAUCCGGAUUUAUUGGGUUUAAAGGGAGCGUAGGUGGACUGGUAAGUCAGUUGUGAAAGUUUGCGGCUCAACCGUAAAAUUGCAGUUGAUACUGUCAGUCUUGAGUACAGUAGAGGUGGGCGGAAUUCGUGGUGUAGCGGUGAAAUGCUUAGAUAUCACGAAGAACUCCGAUUGCGAAGGCAGCUCACUGGACUGCAACUGACACUGAUGCUCGAAAGUGUGGGUAUCAAACAGGAUUAGAUACCCUGGUAGUCCACACAGUAAACGAUGAAUACUCGCUGUUUGCGAUAUACAGUAAGCGGCCAAGCGAAAGCAUUAAGUAUUCCACCUGGGGAGUACGCCGGCAACGGUGAAACUCAAAGGAAUUGACGGGGGCCCGCACAAGCGGAGGAACAUGUGGUCUAAUUCGAUGAUACGCGAGGAACCUUACCAGGGCUUAAAUUGCAGUGGAAUGAUGUGGAAACAUGUCAGUGAGCAAUCACCGCUGUGAAGGUGCUGCAUGGUUGUCGUCAGCUCGUGCCGUGAGGUGUCGGCUUAAGUGCCAUAACGAGCGCAACCCUUAUCUUUAGUUACUAACAGGUCAUGCUGAGGACUCUAGAGAGACUGCCGUCGUAAGAUGUGAGGAAGGUGGGGAUGACGUCAAAUCAGCACGGCCCUUACGUCCGGGGCUACACACGUGUUACAAUGGGGGGUACAGAAGGCAGCUAGCGGGUGACCGUAUGCUAAUCCCAAAAUCCUCUCUCAGUUCGGAUCGAAGUCUGCAACCCGACUUCGUGAAGCUGGAUUCGCUAGUAAUCGCGCAUCAGCCACGGCGCGGUGAAUACGUUCCCGGGCCUUGUACACACCGCCCGUCAAGCCAUGGGAGCCGGGGGUACCUGAAGUACGUAACCGCAAGGAUCGUCCUAGGGUAAAACUGGUGACUGGGGCU
rnacentral:rRNA from 1 species